rnacentral:rRNA from 1 species
GGGCCCGCACAAGCGGUGGAGCAUGUGGUUUAAUUCGAUGAUACGCGAGGAACCUUACCAGGGCUUAAAUGCAGAAUGACAGAUUGGGAAACCAGUCCUUCUUCGGACAUUUUGCAAGGUGCUGCAUGGUUGUCGUCAGCUCGUGCCGUGAGGUGUCAGGUUAAGUCCUAUAACGAGCGCAACCCCUAUCAUUAGUUGCCAGCGGGUAAUGCCGGGAACUCUAAUGAGACUGCCAGCGCAAGCUGCGAGGAAGGUGGGGAUGACGUCAAAUCAUCACGGCCCUUACGUCCUGGCUACACACGUGCUACAAUGGUUGGGACAAUGGGCAGCCACUACGCGAGUAGGAGCU